AUUGAACGCUGGCGGCAUGCCUUACACAUGCAAGUCGAACGGUAACAGGUCUUCGGAUGCUGACGAGUGGCGAACGGGUGAGUAAUACAUCGGAACGUGCCUAGUAGUGGGGGAUAACUACUCGAAAGAGUGGCUAAUACCGCAUGAGAUCUACGGAUGACAGCAGGGGAUCGCAAGACCUUGUGCUACUAGAGCGGCCGAUGGCAGAUUAGGUAGUUGGUGGGAUAAAAGCUUACCAAGCCGACGAUCUGUAGCUGGUCUGAGAGGACGAUCAGCCACACUGGGACUGAGACACGGCCCAGACUCCUACGGGAGGCAGCAGUGGGGAAUUUUGGACAAUGGGCGCAAGCCUGAUCCAGCAAUGCCGCGUGCAGGAUGAAGGCCUUCGGGUUGUAAACUGCUUUUGUACGGAACGAAAAGCCCUGGGUUAAUACCCUGGGGUCAUGACGGUACCGGAAGAAUAAGCACCGGCUAACUACGUG
rnacentral:rRNA from 1 species